UCAACCUAUGAUGACGUCAUCCAACGCGACAGCUACUGUAGCCACGCUGCUACUGUCUUGCUUUGUGAAACACUACGGACGCAAGACUGUUGCUAAAUGAACGAGUUUAGAAACAAUCCUAUCGCUAAGCGGCAGGCAAGAGAGAAAACUCUGCCAUUUACUGUAACAUUUAAAUGGAUGUGAAAGAGGAGACGUGUGAGGCUGACAUAAAUUUCAUGAAGGAGAGUACCAUAAAUGUUAAGGAGGAGGACUGUGAGUGGGAGAGUGACCACCCCAAACAGGAGAGUCUGGACAUUAUGGAAGAGGACAGUGAACUGGGGUCAGUGAAUAUUAAAAUAUUAAAGAGCAGGAUGAAGAGGAGUGUGUCAGCACUGAGGUGGCCAGCUAUAGGAGUAUGGAGAGUGUCAAGGAAGAUGACCUUCAUUAUGGAGAUCAAGGUGGAGCAGUGACCGGGUUAGUCUCUUCUCAUAGCAGACACUCUUCAUCUACAGAGUCUUCUAUCAAUGUAAAAUAUGAAUCAUUACAGUCUGACACAAAGACGACUGAAGGAAUUUCAUCUCCUAGGACUGAGGAAGGUCAGUCACCACCUAAGACAUCAUCUGAAACAAAAGCUGCAGUUUUCUGUGCAGCAAGAUAACUUACAAGACAGCUGCACAUCUCCCUCCUCUUCUGAAUGCAAUACUCGAAGAAAUGCUAGUCUUUCACCUACCCCUCAAUCCAGUGAGCAAGGGAGAAGCCAGCCACUCUAAAAUUAUUCAACUCCCAAGCCCCAAAUACAUCCUUCAUAGUGAUAGUGAGUUGGAGCAGGUCAGAAAACACUGCAGCGCACAGGGAAAGAGGAGCAUUGGAUACUUUCAAAAAGAUUGAUUAGAAAUGCAACAUGGUGCCCAUACUGAGGACAACAAGGGAUGACAACUAUACCUCCAAACAUGAGAUUUCUUCAAUGGCAAAACGUAUAGUCAAGUAUUAUCCAAAACUAUGUGCAGCUGAAGAUCAAAAUUCAUUGGUGAGUGAACCUGUGUUUAAACAACUUCUGAAAAGGCUACAGAAUAUCCGCACACCUCAGAAGUGACAGGACUGUAUGCCUCAUAUAAAUAAAGAGAUGUCUCGGUGUCACCACCGACAAGCCUGAUGCUGCUAAAGUCGAGAAUUCAGGUGAGGCCGAUUCCACUGCAUCAUCGGAGAAUUCUAUUGCUUUAGUGACACUUGUUAACGUGUCGCCUUCUAGUCGUACCCACGAAGUUACAGCAGAGGGAAUGUGAACCAUCUGCUGUUGACACAAUAGUUGACAACCACCAAAUACAGGCCAGGCACUGCAAAACACUACAGGACCUUUACAAGAAACCAAAACCAAAUACAUUCACUGUUAUCUAGCUCCUUGAUCAUGAAUUUAAUGCACAGAGGUCAUUUAUAGAUUAUAUGGGAGGCUUACCCAGGCUUUAAAGAACUGGAUCAUUUGGAAUCAUCUUAACUACAUCACAGACGUUCAGAGCAGAUGGACCAGUUUUUAUGGAAAAGCACAGCUGUAUGGAGUAAUGAAGAAGAUCCUGAAGCCUCCACAUAUUGAAAAAUGCCAUUGCCAUGUUUAGCGCUCUGCCAUCCGUGUUUCCUUCACUUUCUCUACCGCCAAAAAAGUUGGGAAACAAAAGUGAAGAAACAGUUCAUGGCCUUAAGUUUUCUCAUGUUCCUUGUGUUCUGUGGUUUGAUCCCAAGACGCAGGCCCACCUGCCCCCCAACUCGCUAAAGGCUGCGGCUCAUUUGACUGUGCUCUGGUGAUUGGUGGUCUUUGUGAGUAUUUUGCUCUUUUGUUUUUAAUUCUGAUUAUUGUCUUUGAACCUUUGGCUCUUGAGUUCAGAUUCUCUUACAGUUUGUGCUUUUUGAAUGUUGUUACCUUUGGAUUGCCUUUGGCAGCCCCUUUGGCUCUUUUGUUAAUAAACCUCAUCUUUUAUAAAGACCACUUGUGGACUUGUCUCUGCUCCAGCAGGAGUUUUCAUGGUUCUCCCUCUGGUCAGACUCACUUCACGCUUCUAAAACUCUUUUUGAUUUUAUUUUGAAUUUAAAGCCUGAGCUCCUUUCUGAGGCCUAGUCAGGCCUGAAGCCUCCUGUUUGCCUGAGGUGGGCCUGCCUGGGGUGACAUUUGUUUGGUGGGCUAUUCUAGAGGCCUCAGCCUUUUGUUAUAUUGUACUGUUAGAGCAAUCACAACAGAAGAUGGUCUGUCCAGGUGACAUGGUGUUGACCUCUCUGUGGUCAAUUCCUGUCACCUGCUCUCUUAAUUAAUGCCCACUCUCUCUCUUUAUUGUUUUCUUUCCCACUCCUCCUCACUUUCCUGUCUUCUCUCAUUUUCUGUCCUCUUGUUUCUUCUUGUUGUCCCCUCACCACCCUGUCCACUGACAUUGGCUUUUCUCUGUUUUGUUAGUUCCAAGUGACCCUCAUAACCCUGUCCACCCUCUCCUCCUGUCCACUCUGCCUGCUGUCCUGAUCCUGUCACCUCUCCUCCCUGUGUCCUUGUCCCUCUCUCUGUCCACCUUUUUUGCUCUUCUUUUUCUCAAUUCAUCUCUCAUUCCUCCUCUUUGUUGUUCUUCUUUUGUCAUCUCUCAUUAUCUCUUUUUGUCCUUCCUGUUUGUCACCUCUGUCCAGCUCCACUUGUCCACUGCUCUUUGUCCUUCUCAUCCCACUGCCUGUCCUUCUCCUUCCUUCAGUCAGUCCAUGUGGUGUCCUGUGAUCAGUCCGUCCACCAGGUGGUCAGCUGUGACUUCAUAACCCCACACACCUCACCCUGUUUACUCACCACAGUG